rnacentral:rRNA from 1 species
AUUGAACGCUGGCGGAAUGCUUUACACAUGCAAGUCGAACGGCAGCACGGGGGCAACCCUGGUGGCGAGUGGCGAACGGGUGAGUAAUACAUCGGAACGUGCCCAGUCGUGGGGGAUAACGUAGCGAAAGCUACGCUAAUACCGCAUACGAACUCUGGUUGAAAGCAGGGGACCGCAAGGCCUUGUGCUCCUGGAGCGGCCGAUAUCUGAUUAGCUAGUUGGUGAGGUAAAGGCUCACCAAGGCGACGAUCAGUAGCUGGUCUGAGAGGACGACCAGCCACACUGGAACUGAGACACGGUCCAGACUCCUACGGGAGGCAGCAGUGGGGAAUUUUGGACAAUGGGCGCAAGCCUGAUCCAGCCAUGCCGCGUGAGUGAUGAAGGCCCUAGGGUUGUAAAGCUCUUUCACCGGUGAAGAUAAUGACGGUAACUGGAGAAGAAGCGCCGGCUAACUACGUGCCAGCCGCCGC